UUUACUAUUCUAUUUUUAUUUUUUAUUUUUUUAUUUUUUUUGCAAAAUUAUUGGGGCGGCGACCGCCGCCCCUGCCGCCCCUUUCCCGACGCCCCUGUGAGAGUAAAAUCGUUUUAACAUACAUUUUUCACCAGGAAAAAGCUUUCUCGAGUAGGUUUUAAGAACCAGCAACCUGGACUAUUUAAAUAAUGAAUGAAACUCGACAGCUAUUUAAAUCGAUGUAUAUCUCUCUAGUGUGUAUCUAAUUUGACUUGCAUGUGGCAACUUGCCAGAUAUAUAAACUACGUCCAGAACUACGUACAUUUUUAAAAAAAGAAACUCAUAACAGCACAGGACAAAUACGAACUUUUCAAACAUAUUUCAAACGACAUAUCCGUAAUCAAGAUAAUCUUAAAUGGAUUGUGAUGUGAUGGAUCAAUUAAGAUUCAUAAUUCUUACUCUCCGCCAGAAGUAAGGGAAAAUAUAUGGAGAUUUAGUGAAGCAUGAUUAUGUUGGAUCGUAGACAGCUUCGCUUGAUCAUCACUCCAGUGAACAGACUAAACAAUCUUAAAUUAGUAGUACUACUGAUGAGUUUUACGUCUGGAACAGAGUCUCAAUUCAUUAUUCAAUAGUUAAAAAAAAGUAAUGCUUAAAAAAAAUGUCAGCUUGGAAUUAUCGAAAAGCGUUUGAAAUACGAAGUGUAAAGCAUCUUGAAAAUAUAGUGUGUCUUGGUUGUAAUUCAUUUAUUCAAUCAUAAGCAUGUAUACGUGACGGAAUACCAAAAACAGUUACUCCAAGUGAUACAAGGCACAUGAACCUGCUAACGUUAAAUUUUAUUCUAAAUGUCGAGGAAUUUACGCUGCAAACUUUCGCCAGAGUUUACACACAAACCAAAUUUUCCAUGCUGACAUUGUGGGAUAGGAGAUUCCCGCGAACUACUUUUGAUGAAGAUGGUGAUAAGGUCAUCAGAAAGAAAUGGCAUCAGCCUGUUGGUAAUAGGCACACAAUAUCUCUUGCCUCUAAGUAGGAAGUGAUAUUCAAGUUUGUUAACAUCAUAUUCCCGAGGGUUAGGAUAGGCCACAAUAGGAGAUCAAAGUUUUACAUCUGGAGAUACUACUUAACCGGAAAAGACUUCAAGUCAUGAUGAAGUGUAUUUUCAUCAUCUUUGUUAUCGGAAAUAUCUGCAGCAAUACGACUGGAUAUCCCAUACCACCCAAUCAGUCCACAUCAACACCUCUCAUGGUUAAGUACAAUAUUUCAACACCCCACGUGGAUGAGUACAAGACUACUAUACAAAAACCAAAGCUGAAUCUUAGACAUGUUCAGAACAGGAAUUUUUCCAGAUUGAGUAGCCUUUGGGAAUAGUGAUACCUUUAGUUAAUAAUCUAAGAUGACAUGUCAACUGCGUUCUUUAGGGCUGAUCAUUUUCGGCAAGAAAUGCAGAAAUGGAACUGUCAACGCAACGACAGAAAUUGAAAGAGCAGACAAAAUUUCUGAAAACAUAACCAUGAGGAGUGCCAAUAUCUUAACAUUUUCUGUUGACGACUAUAACCCCGCCACUUAUGUUGCCAUAACUGUAUCGUUAAUUGGCAUAAUAAUCGUCUUUCCAACAGUGUGUCUUUGCUUCAUAACCAGUAGCAGCCACCCUCCACUCACUGUGGAGUCGCUUUCAUUGAAAAUUGGAACUGCUGACUAGAGUUUUGUUUGUGUUUCUAAGAAAAUAACAUUUCUAUUUUGACAAUCAACAACCUAUGAUAUCAAUAAAUCAGCCAUUGUUUGUACAAUUAAAUGCUGUCGAGUUGUGUAAAUCAGGAACAUCUUUUUUAUAAGUGUCUGAAUAGAAGAAAAUCAUUUAUAGAGUUUAUACAUACACAUUCAUUGUCAACGUAAAUACUAAUCUCGUAACUUCAAUAUUGAUUUUGAUUACAUUUUUGAGGUUAUCCUCAAUUAUACCAUGUCGCUAUAAGUGUGUAUAUGUCAGAUUCCAUUUCUGAUUCCGUUUCUGGCCCUUUUACCUAUUCCUUAUUGAUUUCGAUUUCGUCUGACACAUAACAUGUCUAUUCUAUUUUAACAUAUCACAUAUUCCAAUUUCACAGGAAAGGGUCACAAAGUGAAUAGAAAUUUUAAAUUUACUCAUUUUUGGUUUUAAAAAUGACGAAUUAGAAGAAUGCGUUUCUUUAGAAAACAAAGUGCAUAUACUUGCCUUAAACUUGCAUAUUUUGUACAACUGUAUCAGCUGCAUUUUUGGUAUAAAAACGAUACAUACACUUUACCUGAAUGUAUCUAGACAUAGGCAGCAAGCUUUAAGAAUAUGAUAAUAUAUUUUAGGGGUAGGGAUCUCAUCCAUUUCAAGAUAUUUUAACAAUUGUAAAAUGAGAGGAUUACUUGACCCAACGGAUACUUGCUCAACCGAACACUGCGUAUAAUUAAACAUAAAUGUUGUGUUCAGAAUAGAAGAAAUUUUGUUUUAGUCAUACAUUGCACACAAUAUUUGAUUAAAAUAAUAUUUCAUGAAUUAUUACACUUGAUAAUAUUAUCACUUUUUUUUCUUUAUAUAGUGUAGCCGCCUGGAAAGUUUAAGAAUAUGUUCCAUUGGAAUUUUGUUUUAUGUAUGCAUCUAUUAAAUGCUUCCUUCACUGUAA